GGGCCCGCACAAGCGGUGGAGCAUGUGGUUUAAUUCGAUGAUACGCGAGGAACCUUACCAGGACUUAAAUGUAAGUUGCAUGAUUCAGAAAUGAAUCUUUCUUCGGACUACUUACAAGGUGCUGCAUGGUUGUCGUCAGCUCGUGCCGUGAGGUGUCAGGUUAAGUCCUAUAACGAGCGCAACCCCUGUCGUUAGUUGCCAUCAAGUAAUGUUGGGUACUCUAGCGAGACUGCCGGUGCAAACCGAGAGGAAGGUGGGGAUGACGUCAAAUCAUCACGGCCCUUACGUCCUGGGCUACACACGUGCUACAAUGGCCGGUACAGAGAGCAGCCACUACGCGAGUAGGAGCGAAUCUUCAAAACCGGUCUCAGUUCGGAUCGCAGUCUGCAACUCGACUGCGUGAAGCUGGAAUCGCUAGUAAUCGGAUAU
rnacentral:rRNA from 1 species